rnacentral:rRNA from 1 species
GACGAACGCUGGCGGCGUGCUUAACACAUGCAAGUCGAACGGAAAGGCCCUGCUUUUGUGGGGUGCUCGAGUGGCGAACGGGUGAGUAACACGUGAGUAACCUGCCCUUGACUUUGGGAUAACCUCAGGAAACUGGGGCUAAUACCGGAUAGGAGCUCCUGCUGCAUGGUGGGGGUUGGAAAGUUUCGGCGGUUGGGGAUGGACUCGCGGCUUAUCAGCUUGUUGGUGGGGUAGUGGCUUACCAAAGCUUUGACGGGUAGCCGGCCUGAGAGGGUGACCGGCCACAUUGGGACUGAGAUACGGCCCAGACUCCUACGGGAGGCAGCAGUGGGGAAUAUUGCACAAUGGGCGGAAGCCUGAUGCAGCAACGCCGCGUGCGGGAUGACGGCCUUCGGGUUGUAAACCGCUUUCGCCUGUGACGAAGCGUGAGUGACGGUAAUGGGUAAAGAAGCACCGGCUAACUACGUG